GGGUGCUGAAGCAAUCGACUGGUUCGAUUUCGGUUGGUUGUGGGGCCAGACUGUGGGUUAUGCGAAAAUCACAGGCCGAAUGGAUUCUUAGAAUCGAAUGAAAGCGCUUCAU
ncrna:unclassified sequences drum RNA